AGCGAACGCUGGCGGCAGGCCUAACACAUGCAAGUCGAACGAACUCUUCGGAGUUAGUGGCGGACGGGUGAGUAACACGUGGGAACGUGCCUUUUGGUUCGGAAUAACUCAGGGAAACUUGUGCUAAUACCGAAUGCGCCCUUCGGGGGAAAGAUUUAUCGCCAUUAGAGCGGCCCGCGUCUGAUUAGCUAGUUGGUGAGGUAACGGCUCACCAAGGCGACGAUCAGUAGCUGGUCUGAGAGGAUGACCAACCACACUGGGACUGAGACACGGCCCAGACUCCUACGGGAGGCAGCAGUGGGGAAUCUUGCGCAAUGGGCGAAAGCCUGACGCAGCCAUGCCGCGUGAAUGAUGAAGGUCUUAGGAUUGUAAAAUUCUUUCACCGGGGACGAUAAUGACGGUACCCGGAGAAGAAGCCCCGGCUAACUUCGUG
rnacentral:rRNA from 1 species